rnacentral:tRNA from 1 species
GAGGAUUUGGUGGGCUGUCGCUGCUAACGAUGGUUGGGGUAUUUGUUUGCCCGGUUCUCU